AUGUAGGGCUCUGAAAAAGUAGCGUUUGGCUGCGGUGAAAACCGUGCUGAAACUUUAACUUCACCCUUCUGUCCAUGUGAGGCGUAGCGCGAGCCGCUCGGUACUGCCGAACUCACCAUCCAUCUCACCAUGAUUGAGAAGAACGGGACCACAGCGCGUAACUUCUUGUACGAGCAGCACGAGGUGCCCGGACAGCGGCGCGGUGGCCAAGUGGGGGGGGGGGGGGAUCAUGGUGCUACUCGCUGCGGAGGAUCACCUGGCCGCGCGCGCGGGUCCGUGCUGGAUCCACGAGCGGGACGAAGCACCGACCUCGUGGGACCGCCGCCUCUCUCUGCGCUUCGGAGCAGCGGAGCCUCUGACUCGGAGCGCGCGCGAGCAGGAUGUCUGGGAAGGGUCACGGCAAACCCGAGCCUAACCCGGCAACACGGGGUGCAAGUCUAGAGGGGGAGGGCACACACCCAGGAUGGGAUGCCAGUCCGUCGCAAGGGACCCCAAGCGGGACUCGAACCCCAGACCCGCCAGAGAGCAGGACCCCGUCAACACCGCUGCACCACCGCACCCCCCGCCAGAGGAACUUCACUGCUCUUAAAUGAAGAAAAAUCACUUCUGUAUUCAGCGCUAGACGUACCUGCUAUUUGGAGUUGCUUAUUAAAGAGGUAAAUGACUUGCCUGACGGGAUGCAAACCUUUUCCUUACCCGAGGUUUGUAAGAGCCGGAGAUGAAAGCGCAUAUUUACAUUUUACCCACUUGCAGCAAUGAAUGCAUUGUUGUUUCCAAAUGACUUCGCACAUGUUCCUCCUAACCUUUAAGCAUUAAAUCUCUCAUACAUUUUCCUGAAAUAUGCUCCAGCU
rnacentral:lncRNA from 1 species